rnacentral:rRNA from 1 species
CAGUCGAACGGAGUUGAAAGGAGCUUGCUUUUUUCACUCAGUGGCGGACGCCUUAGUAACGCGUGAGUAACCUGCCUUUCAGAGGGGGAUAACGUUCUGAAAAGAACGCUAAUACCGCAUAAGAUUGUAGUUUCGCAUGGAGCAGCAAUCAAAGGAGCAAUCCGCUGAAAGAUGGACUCGCGUCCGAUUAGAUAGUUGGCGGGGUAACGGCCCACCAAGUCGACGAUCGGUAGCCGGACUGAGAGGUUGAUCGGCCACAUUGGGACUGAGACACGGCCCAGACUCCUACGGGAGGCAGCAGUGAGGGAUAUUGGGCAAUGGGAGAAACCCUGACCCAGCAACGCCGCGUGAGGGAUGACGGUUUUCGGAUUGUAAACCUCUGUCCUCUGUGAAGAUAGUGACGGUAGCAGAGGAGGAAGCUCCGGCUAACUACGUGCCAGCAGCCGCGGUAAUACGUAGG